GGAUUCUCUCGACAGCUAUGGAUCGUCGCCUUGGUAGGCCUUUACCCCACCAACUAGCUAAUCCAACGCGGGCCAAUCCUUCCCCGAUCUUCUUUAAACUGUAGGGCGUCCGCGGACUCCCUACGGGGGAAAGAUUUAUCGGGGAAGGAUUGGCCCGCGUUGGAUUAGCUAGUUGGUGGGGUAAAGGCCUACCAAGGCGACGAUCCAUAGCUGGUCUGAGAGGAUGAUCAGCCACAUUGGGACUGAGACACGGCCCAAACUCCUACGGGAGGCAGCAGUGGGGAAUAUUGGACAAUGGGCGCAAGCCUGAUCCAGCCAUGCCGCGUGAGUGAUGAAGGCCUUAGGGUUGUAAAGCUCUUUCACCGAUGAAGAUAAUGACGGUAGUCGGAAAAGAAGCCCCGGCUAACUUCGUGCCAGCAGCCGCGGUAAUACGAAGGGGGCUAGCGUUGUUCGGAAUUACUGGGCGUAAAGCGCACGUAGGCGGAUAUUUAAGUCAGGGGUGAAAUCCCGCAGCUCAACUGCGGAACUGCCUUUGAUACUGGGUAUCUUGAGUAUGGAAGAGGUAAGUGGAAUUCCGAGUGUAGAGGUGAAAUUCGUAGAUAUUCGGAGGAACACCAGUGGCGAAGGCGGCUUACUGGUCCAUUACUGACGCUGAGGUGCGAAAGCGUGGGGAGCAAACAGGAUUAGAUACCCUGGUACUCCACGCCGUAAACGAUGAAUGUUAGCCGUCGGGCAGUAUACUGUUCGGUGGCGCAUCUCACGCAUUAAACAUUCCGCCUGGGGAGUACGGUCGCAAGAUUAAAACUCAAAAGAAUUGACGGGCGCCCGCACAAGCGGUGGAGCAUGUGGUUUAAUUUCGAAGCAACGCGCAAAACCUUACCAGCUCUUGACAUUCGGGGUAUGGGGCAUUGGGAGACGAUCUCCUUCAGUUACGCUGGCCCCAGCACAGGUGCUGCAUGGCUGUCGUCAGCUCGUGUCGAUGAGAUGUUGGUGUUAGUCCCACACGAGCGCAGCCCUCGCCCUUUAGUUGCAGCAUUUAGUUGGGCACUCUAGGAGGACUGCGGUGAUCAGCGAGAGGAUGGUGGAGAUGACGUCAAG
rnacentral:rRNA from 1 species